rnacentral:rRNA from 1 species
UACGAAGGGGGCUAGCGUUGCUCGGAAUUACUGGGCGUAAAGGGCGCGUAGGCGGCGCUGUUAGUCAGGCGUGAAAUUCCUGGGCUUAACCUGGGGACUGCGCUUGAUACGGCAGUGCUAGAGGGUGGAAGAGGGUCGCGGAAUUCCCAGUGUAGAGGUGAAAUUCGUAGAUAUUGGGAAGAACACCGGUGGCGAAGGCGGCGAGCUGGUCCAUUACUGACGCUGAGGCGCGACAGCGUGGGGAGCAAACAGG